rnacentral:lncRNA from 1 species
UACCUAUAGUCCCUCAUCCAUCUAAUAUCCCAGAGACCAUAUAUCGGGCAUGGUGCUGUCAGACCCAUACGGUUUCUACUCGAGUCUCGCUCUAAUCGGAUUCUCCCGGAUAACUCUUUCUCUUUCAACCCGAAUGACCCUGGCUAGGGAUUUGUCUGAGCAAGAACAUAUGGGAUAUUCCUCUCAUGACGCCGAGAGUGGAUGAUCCUCUAUCG